rnacentral:rRNA from 1 species
UACGUAGGGACCAAGCGUUGCCCGGAAUCAUUGGGCGUAAAGAGCGUGUAGGCGGCUUGUUAAGUCUUGCGUGAAAUCUCGGGGCUCAACCCCGAGCGGUCGUGAGAAACUGGCAGGCUAGAGUGCGGGAGAGGAGAGUGGAAUUCCUGGUGUAGCGGUGAAAUGCGCAGAUAUCAGGAAGAACACCCGUGGCGAAGGCGGCUCUCUGGAACGCAACUGACGCUGAGACGCGAAAGCGUGGGGAGCAAACAGG